AAAAUUCUGAAACAUGAAUGUUUGUGGUCUUUUCUGACUUUCUUCUGAGCGAUGAGUACUAAGUUAAGAUUUAAUACAAAUCACUAAAUUAUUUUGCAGAAGAUGUGCAACAGUUGAUACCUGCCCACAAGUUCCAUGGACUUCCCUGGUAGUCCAGUGGCCAAGACUCCAUGUUCCUAAUGCAGGGGGCUGAAAUUUGGUCCCUGAUCAGGGAACUAGAUGCCACGUGCCACAGCUAAGAAUUCACAUGCCGUAACUAAAGAUUCUGCAUGUCGCAGCAAAGACCCGGUGAAGCCAAUUUGCUGAUCAGUGACUCUCUGGGCCUCAUCUUAUCUGGACAGUUGGAAGAUGCCUGCCCGGAGCCAAGAGAAGAGAAUCACUGCAGCAAAACACGGGUGUGGAGGCGGGACCCCAAGUACAUGCUCUGUCUCGGUCUUUCCUUGCUCAGAGGCAGCUGUG